UACGUAGGGUGCAAGCGUUGUCCGGAAUUAUUGGGCGUAAAGAGCUCGUAGGCGGUCUGUCGCGUCGAAUGUGAAAACCCGGGACUCAACUCCGGGCCUGCAUUCGAUACGGGCAGACUAGAGUUCGGUAGGGGAGACUGGAAUUCCUGGUGUAGCGGUGAAAUGCGCAGAUAUCAGGAGGAACACCGGUGGCGAAGGCGGGUCUCUGGGCCGAUACUGACGCUGAGGAGCGAAAGCGUGGGGAGCAAACAGGAUUAGAUACCCUGGUAGUCCACGCCGUAAACGUUGGGCGCUAGGUGUGGGGAUCCUUCCACGAUCUCUGUGCCGCAGCUAACGCAUUAAGCGCCCCGCCUGGGGAGUACGGCCGCAAGGCUAAA
rnacentral:rRNA from 1 species